UACGAAGGGGGCUAGCGUUGUUCGGAAUUACUGGGCGUAAAGCGCGUGUAGGCGGCUCUGCAAGUCAGGUGUGAAAUCCCACGGCUCAACCAUGGAAGUGCACUUGAAACUGCAGGGCUAGAGUCCUGGAGAGGAAGGUGGAAUGCUUGGUGUAGAGGUGAAAUUCGUAGAUAUCAAGCGGAACACCGGUGGCGAAGGCGGCCUUCUGGACAGUGACUGACGCUGAGACGCGAAAGCGUGGGGAGCAAACAGG
rnacentral:rRNA from 1 species